GCCACGCUGGCAGUGAGUGUAGAGAUUCACCCGUUAAAGGGAUAAUUGGGAGUCCGGCUCGCAGGUGGGCAAUGUUCAUGCAACAAACGUUUAGUGAGGGCAAACCAUAUGCCAGACACUGUGUGAGAUGAACACUAAGAAAGAAAAGGCGAAUGAGUGUCUUGAAGAGUUCCCGAAGGAAGUGACUUUUGAAUCAUGAAGGAUAAGUAGGAUUUCCCCCGGAAGUCCGGAAGGGAGAUACUUUUCCAGACUUCGCUGGGAACAGCUUACAUCAAGAACAUAGCAUCUUCUGGAAAUUCUUUGUAGUUCAUCCUGUUUCGUUAGAAUUAAACGUAACCAUGAUAGGGAAGAUACAACUGAGAUAAUACAGUUGAAUAGAGAGAAGUGCUAAUCAGCAGGUAAAGAUCUUGAGAGGGUAAGCGUACAGGCAAUCCAAAGCACUGAUGGGAAGAAUAUCUUGGAAGAGAGAAGAUACAUCCUCAAUUAUAACAAGAGGAAGUAUGUGUCUGUAAGUUUGUAUGUUUUGCAAUAAAAAGUUAAAUUCUCAUCUGA